rnacentral:piRNA from 3 species
GUACGUAGCAGAGCAGCUCCCUC